UCCGGUUUGUCACCGGCAGUCUCCCUAGAGUUCCCACCAUUACGUGCUGGCAACUAAGGACAAGGGUUGCGCUCGUUACGGGACUUAACCCAACAUCUCACGACACGAGCUGACGACAGCCAUGCAGCACCUGUCUUACGGUUCCCGAAGGCACCAAUCCAUUUCUGGAAAGUUCCGAGUAUGUCAAGGGCAGGUAAGGUGGGGAUGACGUGGGUCAGUCAA
rnacentral:misc_RNA from 1 species